GACGAACGCUGGUGUCGUGCUUAACACAUGCAAGUCGAACGAAGUGGCGAACGGGUGAGUAAUACGUGAGUAACCUGCCCUCCUUUUUGGUAUAAGCCUUGGAAACUGGGUCUACUACCGAAUAUAUGGGGAUGCGCUCGCGGCCUGUCAGCUUGUUGGUGGGGUGUUGGCCUACCAAGGCGGUGACGGGUAGCCGGCCUGAGAGGGUGAAGGGCCAGAUUGGGAUGGGGGUCCGGCCGAGACACCGUCGGGCGGCAGAAGUGGGGGUGAGUGCACAAUGGGCGAAAGCCUGAUGAGGCGACGGGGUGGGGGGGAAGAAGGUUUUCGGGUUGUAAACCUCUUUCGCUAUCGAACGGGUAGGUUUAGAAGAAGAGCCGGCUAAUUACGUGCCAGCAGCCGCGGUAAUAC
rnacentral:rRNA from 1 species